CGCUGGCGGCAUGCCUAACACAUGCAAGUCGAACGAAGGCUUCGGCCUUAGUGGCGCACGGGUGCGUAACGCGUGGGAAUCUGCCCUUGGGUUCGGAAUAACAGUGAGAAAUUACUGCUAAUACCGGAUGAUGACUUCGGUCCAAAGAUUUAUCGCCCAAGGAUGAGCCCGCGUAAGAUUAGCUAGUUGGUGAGGUAAAGGCUCACCAAGGCGACGAUCUUUAGCUGGUCUGAGAGGAUGAUCAGCCACACUGGGACUGAGACACGGCCCAGACUCCUACGGGAGGCAGCAGUGGGGAAUAUUGGACAAUGGGCGAAAGCCUGAUCCAGCAAUGCCGCGUGAGUGAUGAAGGCCUUAGGGUUGUAAAGCUCUUUUACCAGGGAUGGUAAUGACAGUACCUGGAGAAUAAGCUCCGGCUAACUCCGUGCCAGCAGCCGCGGUAAUACGGAGGGAGCUAGCGUUGUUCGGAAUUACUGGGCGUAAAGCGCACGUAGGCGGCCAUUCAAGUCAGAGGUGAAAGCCCGGGGCUCAACCCCGGAACUGCCUUUGAAACUAGAUGGCUUGAAUCUUGGAGAGGCGAGUGGAGUUCCGAGUGUAGAGGUGAAAUUCGUAGAUAUUCGGAAGAACACCAGUGGCGAAGGCGACUCGCUGGACAAGUAUUGACGCUGAGGUGCGAAAGCGUGGGGAGCAAA
rnacentral:rRNA from 1 species